GCAGUUUAAAAAACAACUGAUAUAUGUUUUAACCAAUAUAAAGUUACAAAUCACAGAUCACACAUAGACAAAUCAUAUAUCACACCUAGGUUCAUCAUAAACAUAUACAAGAAGAAGUUGCUGAAUAUACAGACUUGCACAGACCGCUCCUGGCUACUACUAGGUUCAGUGAAAAUAAACACAUCACCUCGUGCAUUUUUGGGCUAAACAAUCUAAGGACAUUUUAUGAGAACUCAUCCGCUUCAACAACUUUCAGACAGUUGUUCUCAUGGAAACCACGAGUACUCUUCUACCUCCUCGAGAUUUCGUUUGGACAAGUACGUGAGCAAGACCACCGAUGAAAGAACCUGCAUUGACAACCAUUGGUGCUGGCCUUCGUUGAUGCAUCACGUAUCAACAUUUCUCUUCCUUGAGCCCUGUCAUUCAGUCACUGUCCCAACCUUCAUCAGUAUUCUUCUCCGUUGCCAAUGUUUUCCCUCUUGUCAUCACUAUCCUCACUGCUGCUGUCAAAAUUCGGGAAACUCGCCUUUGGGGCUCUUGAGUUCGCCUCUUCCCCCUUGUAAUCUGACACCCACAAGUCAUCGUCAUCAGCGUCUAACUCAUCACCGUUGCUGCUGCCUCUGGACAUAGUGCCAUCGGAAAGCAUCGACUGAACUCCCUGGAAUCCGAUUAGACCCUCUGCAUCCCCUAGGAACAGAAAUCUCUCUGCCACUGGAUCUGCUCCUCUCAUUCCUCAUCGGAAGCAUACCCUCUCAUCCUCGUCACCACCGGCCACGGCCGGCCUCCACCGCCGCCUGCACACCGCUCGCUACUCUCGCCCCCCUUCCAUAUCCAUCAAGAACAAGAAAAAAAUGAGGAUGGGAGAGCUCAAUACUCACCGGUGAGAAGGUGCCGGGGAGGCUUGCCGUCGGGGCUGCGCGGCGCCGGCCCGCCGUCACCUCGCGCCGCCACGCAGUGACCUCGCACCGUCCUCAUGCGUCGCCAACGUCUCGCCGUCGCUUUGGCCAGGAAUCGAUCCGGAGGAGACGAGGCCAGGGUUUGUGCCGGUCCUUGGAGGGAAGAGAAAGUCAAAACCGGGCCGAGUUUACUUCCGGUUCAGGCCCAAACGAACGGGAAUAGUGAUACCUACCAAAUUCCAAUCCGCAAUCCGACGGAAACGAACGGGCCCUUAAUAGAAGUGUUGUUCACACGGCCAGCCCGGAUCGAAGCCGGCUGCCAAUACGCCGUCGCUGUCCCCGCCGGCCCACCGCUCCACCGGCCGCGCAUUGCGCCGGUUGUUUCGCCGUCGGAACCGGCCGGUUCCCAGCCCGGAUCAUCAGUCGAGGCCCUCAGUUCUUCGAUUCGCCACUGUGGGCCUGUGGCUGACCGGCCGUCGUGAUAUCAGUACAUGCACGCCUCUUUCCAUUCGCAAAUCACAAGAGAGACAAGCAACAUGCGCGCUCGGGGGCGGCGGCGGCGGCGGCAUCGACGAGAUGUCGAGGUCGAGAGACCCGCAAAAACACGGGGGGCCGGGGCAUGCAAGUGCGGGACCCUGCAUGGUCAAGAUCCUAAGUACAAAAAUAAGUCACUAAGCUCUGACUUGGGAGGCCAGUAGUGGCCAGGCCAUGAUAGUUGUUUAUC
rnacentral:lncRNA from 1 species